rnacentral:rRNA from 1 species
CCUACGUGUGGCAGCAGUGAGGAAUAUUGGUCAAUGGACGAGAGUCUGAACCAGCCAAGUAGCGUGAAGGAUGACUGCCCUAUGGGUUGUAAACUUCUUUUAUAUGGGAAUAAAAUGUUCCACGUGUGGGAUUUUGUAUGUACCAUAUGAAUAAGGAUCGGCUAACUCCGUGCCAGCAGCCGCGGUAAUACGGAGGAUCCGAGCGUUAUCCGGAUUUAUUGGGUUUAAAGGGAGCGUAGGUGGAGUGUUAAGUCAGUUGUGAAAGUUUGCGGCUCAAACGUAAAAUUGCAGUUGAAACUGGCAGUCUUGAGUACAGGAGAGGUAGGCGGAAUUCGUGGUGUAGCGGUGAAAUGCUUAGAUAUCACGCAGAACUCCGAUUGCGAAGGCAGUUCACUGGACUGCAACUGACACUGAGGCUCGAAAGUGUGGGUAUCGAACAGGAUUAGAUACCCCUGUAGUC